rnacentral:rRNA from 1 species
GUCAUAUGCUUGUCUCAAAGAUUAAGCCAUGCAUGUCUCAGUACAAGCCAAAUUAAGGUGAAACCGCGAAAGGCUCAUUAAAUCAGUUAUGGUUCCUUAGAUCGUACCCACAAUUACUUGGAUAACUGUGGUAAUUCUAGAGCUAAUACAUGCAAACAGAGCUCCGACCGGAGACGGAAGGAGUGCUUUUAUUAGAUCAAAACCAAUCGGUGGCGGGUUCGCGCUCGUCAUCGUACAACUUGGUGACUCUGAAUAACUUUACGCUGAUCGCACGGUCAUCGCACCGGCGACGCAUCUUUCAAAUGUCUGCCUUAUCAACUGUCGAUGGUAGGUUCUGCGCCUACCAUGGUCGUAACGGGUAACGGGGAAUCAGGGUUCGAUUCCGGAGAGGGAGCCUGAGAAACGGCUACCACAUCCAAGGAAGGCAGCAGGCGCGCAAAUUACCCACUCCCGGCACGGGGAGGUAGUGACRAAAAAUAACGAUACGGGACUCAUCCGAGGCCCCGUAAUCGGAAUGARUACACUCUAAACCCUUUAACGAGGAUCAAUUGGAGGGCAAGUCUGGUGCCA